CCCCAGUGCAGUGCAGCUUGUGCUAUCCCUGCUGUCCCCAUGCAGUGCAGCUUGUGCUAUCCCUGCUGUCCCCAUGCAGUGCAGCUUGUGCUAUCCCUGCUGUCCCCAUGCAGUGCAGCUUGUGCUAUCCCUGCUGUCCCCAUGCAGUGCAGCUUGUGCUAUCCCUGCUGUCCCCA